rnacentral:misc_RNA from 1 species
GUAUCAAAGAUUAUUCUGCCGAAGUUAUUGCUCCGGCGUUUUACUUUUAUCGGGCUUUAUAUUAUUCAGUAUUGUAUAAGAGAGGCGACGAUCUAGUCGUUUAUUAAUACUGAACACAAAAAUGGCCUCAGUCGGUGCUGUAACUCGUGUAUUGUUGGGAAAGAAUGUGGUCAACAGGGUAGCAGCCGCUAAUACCGGUCUCGUUAAGUUCUAUAGCACUGGCCCUGCAUAUGAAAACAUUAAAGUUGAAGUAGUUGGUGCCAAGAAGAAUGUAGGCCUCAUCCAGUUGAACAGGCCUAAGGCCCUGAAUGCACUGUGUGGCCCACUCUUCGUAGAGGUUGGUCAGGCUGUUAAAGACUUCGAAACUGAUGACAAGAUUGCUGCUAUUGUUAUCACAGGCAAUGAGAAAGCCUUCGCUGCCGGCGCUGACAUCAAGGAGAUGCAGAACAACACCUUCAGCGGGAACACGAAGAAGGGCUUCUUGCAAGACAUUGAAGAUUAUAUCUCCAACUGCGGCAAACCCGUCAUCGCUGCCGUCAAUGGAUUUGCUCUCGGUGGAGGUUGCGAGCUCGCCAUGCUUUGCGACAUAAUCUACGCGGGCGAGAAAGCCAAGUUCGGCCAGCCGGAAAUCAACCUCGGCACUAUUCCCGGAAUUGGCGGUACUCAACGCCUCCCAAGAUACGUCGGCAAGUCCAAGGCAAUGGAAAUCGUGUUGACUGGCAACUUUAUUGAUGCGCAUGAGGCUGAGAGAAUGGGUCUGGUAAGCCGCGUGUUCCCAGUAGACAAACUCCUGGAGGAGACCAUCAAGUUGGCCGAGAGGAUCGGCACCCACUCCCCCCUCAUCGUGAAGAUGGCUAAGGCAGCCGUCAACCAGGCUUACGAGACCACGCUCAAGUCUGGCCUGCAGUUCGAGAAGGCAUACUUCUACGGAACUUUUGCUACUGAGGACCGCAAAGAAGGAAUGACAGCCUUCGUCGAGAAGAGGCCACCCAACUUCAAGAACGAAUAAGCAUUUAUACAUUUUUAUAUUAUACACUGUAUACCGAAUCAUAUCUCCCGUAUAUUGUAAGCAAAGGUGCUAUAUCACACUGUAGAAUGAUAUUGAUUGUUAUCCAAUUUUUUAAUAAGAAAUAAAUGAGUUUAUUUUUGAAAAAA